CUCACGCAGCGCAUCCUCCCUCCAGCUUCCACUGCCACGUCUUCCCGUUUCUGGAGCAGGAGGAGGCCCGCCACGGGGCCCUGCAGCAGCUGCAGCAGCAGAGUCAGGAGCUGCAGGAGGUCCUCGGGGAGACGGAGCGGUUCCUGAUCCAGGUGCUGGGCCGGGUGCUGCAGCUGCUGCCACCGGGACAGGUGCAGGUCCACAAGAUGAAGGCCGUGUACCUGGCCCUGAACCAGUGCAGCGUGAGCACCACGCACAAGUGCCUCAUUGCCGAGGCCUGGUGCUCUGUGCGAGACCUGCCCGCCCUGCAGGAGGCCCUGCGGGACAGCUCGAUGGAGGAGGGAGUGAGCGCCGUGGCUCACCGCAUCCCCUGCCGGGACAUGCCCCCCACACUCAUCCGCACCAACCGCUUCACGGCCAGCUUCCAGGGCAUCGUGGACGCCUAUGGCGUGGGCCGCUACCAGGAGGUCAACCCCGCUCCCUACACCAUCAUCACCUUCCCCUUCCUGUUUGCUGUGAUGUUCGGGGAUGUGGGCCACGGGCUGCUCAUGUUCCUCUUCGCACUGGCCAUGGUGCUUGCGGAGAACCGGCCAGCUGUGAAGGCCGCGCAGAACGAGGUGAGGGGCCGGGCUGGGGUCCUGAUGAGGGUAGCAGGGCCAGGCAGUCCCUCACCACACCGCUGCCCCCCAGAUCUGGCAGACUUUCUUCAGGGGCCGCUACCUGCUCCUGCUCAUGGGCCUGUUCUCCAUCUACACUGGCUUCAUCUACAACGAGUGCUUCAGUCGUGCCACCAGCAUCUUCCCCUCGGGCUGGAGUGUGGCCGCCAUGGCCAACCAGUCUGGCUGGAGGUGAGGCCCGGGCCUCAGCCCAGCCGGGGGCCCCGCAGCACCCGCAGCCCUGACCACCCUGCCCUCCGUUGCCGCAGUGAUGCGUUCCUGGCCCAGCACACGAUGCUUACCCUGGAUCCCAACGUCACCGGUGUCUUCCUGGGACCCUACCCCUUUGGCAUCGACCCUAUCUGGAGCCUGGCUGCCAACCACUUGAGCUUCCUCAACUCCUUCAAGAUGAAGAUGUCCGUCAUCCUGGGCGUCGUGCACAUGGCCUUUGGGGUGGUCCUCGGAGUCUUCAACCACAUGCACUUUGGCCAGAGGCACCGGCUGCUGCUGGAGACGCUGCCGGAGCUCACCUUCCUGCUGGGACUCUUCGGUUACCUCGUCUUCCUAGUCAUCUACAAGUGGCUGCGUGUCUGGGCUGGCAGCACCGCCUCGGCCCCCAGCAUCCUCAUCCACUUCAUCAACAUGUUCCUCUUCUCCCACAGCCCCACCAACAGGCCGCUUUACCCCCGGCAGGAGGUGGUCCAGGCCACGCUGGUGGUCCUGGCCUUGGCCAUGGUGCCCGUCCUGCUGCUUGGCACACCCCUGCACCUGCUGCGCCGCCGCCGCCGCCACCUGCGGAGGAGGCCCACUGGUCAACAGGAGGAAAACAAGGCCGCGUUGCUGGACCUGCCCGACGCAUCUGUGAAUGGCUGGAGCUCCGAUGAGGAAAAGGCAGGGGGCCUGGAUGACGAAGAGGAGGCCGAGGUGGGCGCGGUGCCUUCCUGGGGGUGGGACGGCUGAGGCCCCGCUGGCCCUCACUGCACCCGCCCCACAGCUCGUUCCCUCCGAGGUACUCAUGCACCAGGCCAUCCACACCAUCGAGUUCUGCCUGGGCUGCAUCUCCAACACCGCCUCCUACCUGCGCCUGUGGGCCCUGAGCCUGGCCCACGCCCAGCUGUCCGAGGUUCUGUGGGCCAUGGUGAUGCGCACAGGCCUGGGCCUGGGCCGGGAGGUGGGCGUGGCGGCUGCGGCGCUGGUCCCCAUCUUUGCCAUCUUUGCUGUGCUGACCGUGGCCAUCCUGCUGGUGAUGGAGGGGCUCUCGGCCUUCCUGCACGCCCUGCGGCUGCACUGGUGAGCGACCACCCCCUGGCCUGGGCUGCUCAAGGUGGGAGUUCCCCUCACCAACCCCUCCGCUUCUCACCCCCAGGGUGGAAUUCCAGAACAAGUUCUACUCGGGCACAGGCUACAAGCUGAGUCCCUUCACCUUUGCUGCCACAGAUGACUAGGGCCCACUGCAGGUCCUGCCAGAUCUCCAUCCUGACCUCUGAGGCAGGAGAGGAAUAAA
rnacentral:sRNA from 1 species